CUGAAAAGAUUGAAUAAAGGUGGGAGCUUCUCCAACAAAGAUGGUUCUUUUCAAAAAUAUUAGGGUAAAGGCCAUUAAACUCAAGGAGAGGAAGAAGGUCAGAGUACAAAGGUGAAGGACAGACGGUGGGUGGGAAACAAAAAUUCCAGAAUUAGGGACCAUGUCAAAUUAAAAAAUUUUACCUGUGGUUACUAACCCGUGAAAAUGACUAGAAGUGACUGCCAUGUUUGUGCAUUACUGUGUUGCUGAAGAAAACCUGAUUCUUUAGGCCAGGAACAAACUGGAAAUGAUUAACCCCAAAGGGAAAUUGCAGGCCUCUAAACCUGAGCCAACAAGAAGCGGAGGAAAAUCUGUGUAGACUUGGGAAAAGCUGUCUCAUGUCGCCCACCUCUGGCGUAGUCAGGGAGCAUGAACCAGGCCUACGGAGGAUAAGGGACAAGGGCUAUUCAUCCAGAGGGCAGAGCCAGUCUACUGAGAAUGAUGGACAAGGACAUCCUCCCCGAAGAUGACUGGCUAUCCUGGGGGCUGACUGGGCAGCUUGGGCAGAGUUCACAUUUUUCUUGUCCAGCUGAGGAGGAAUGAGUUGUCACCUCUCUGCUUUGUCUCUCCUUCCACCCCGUCCACGUGGACAUUGCUGGGGCAGUUAUCUUCUCCUGUUUCUUCCACUGUACGUUUUCAUGUCAUGGGUAGAUAACUGGUCUUUUAACCAUAGGAUUACAAAUAUGGAACCCAUCAAGAAAACUGCAUCCAGAAUGUCCAAGAUGUCCAAGAACUGGAGCCAGAUAUUGGUUUGGCCACAUGGGAUGGGAAAGUGUUGGAGGAGGUCAUGGAGAGGACAUGACUGCUGCUUGACUGGUGAGCUGGACCUGGGCCGUUGGAAGCUUUUCAUCCCUCCUUUGUCCUUGGAACAUUCUGCCUGUUGUUCCCACAGCUGGGGCCAUUUUCAAGGAUGCAGCCUUGAGAGAAUACGUUGAGACCAUCUGGACCUUACCAGUGACUAAACCCAGUUAAGGUUUCUAUGUGGACUCUAAGAUUCCGGUGGCUGGUAAGGAGAUCUCCUGUUUUGUAUCUGCCAACACAAGAGUUGUAUAUAAAUUUCCUUGCUUAUUAAAACUGCCAUCUGUCAAUCUGGAGUGGUCUGCCCCUUUCUUCUCUCUCUCCUUACCCUCUGUGUAUGGGGCCCGUUUGGAAUUUCCUGC
rnacentral:lncRNA from 9 species